rnacentral:pre_miRNA from 1 species
AUUCGUACGUUACACUGAACAGAUUUGUGUACGAAUGCUCUGUUCAGUGCGAUGUGUGAAUCA